rnacentral:rRNA from 1 species
CAGUCGCCGCGGUAAUGCGUAGGUGGCAAGCGUUGUCCGGAAUUAUUGGGCGUAAAGCGCGCGCAGGCGGCCUAUCCAGUCUGUCUUAAAAGUUCGGGGCUCAACCCCGUGAUGGGAUGGAAACUAGUAGGCUAGAGUAUCGGAGAGGAAAGCGGAAUUCCUAGUGUAGCGGUGAAAUGCGUAGAUAUUAGGAAGAACACCAGUGGCGAAGGCGACUUUCUGGACGAAAACUGACGCUGAGGCGCGAAAGCCAGGGGAGCGAACGGGAUUAGAUACCCGCGUAGUCCCUGUCUCUUAUACA